AGCGAACGUUUGCGGCGGGCCUAACACAUGCAAGUCGAACGCACUAGCAAUAGUGAGUGGCGCACGGGUGCGUAACACGUGGGUAAUCAACCCUUCAGCCUGGGAUAACGACUCGAAAGGGUCGCUAAUACCGGAUACGGCGCGAGAGGCUUCGGCUUCUCACGAGAAAGCCACGCAAGGGGCACUGAAGGACGAGCCUGCGGCCCAUCAGCUAGUUGGUGAGGUAAGAGCUCACCAAGGCUAAGACGGGUAGCUGGUCUGAGAGGAUGAUCAGCCACACUGGAACUGAGACACGGUCCAGACUCCUACGGGAGGCAGCAGUGGGGAAUAUUGCGCAAUGGGCGAAAGCCUGACGCAGCCACGCCGCGUGAGCGAUGAAGGCCUCGGUCGUAAGACUCUNUGGGAGAGACGAAGAAAGACCUAGUGAAGAGCAGGCCUUGACGGUAUCUCCUUAG
rnacentral:rRNA from 1 species